rnacentral:tRNA from 1 species
UGCUUCAUUAGCUCAGUUGGGAGAGCACUCGACUUUUAAUCGAGGAGUCAUGGGUUCAAGUCCCAUAUGGGGCAU